rnacentral:snRNA from 1 species
AUCGCUUCUCGGCCUUUUGGCUAAGAUCAAGUGUAGUAUCUGUUCUUAUCAGUUUAAUAUCUGAUACGUCCCCUAUCUGGGGACCAUAUAUUAAAUGGAUUUUUGGAACAGGGAGAUGGAAGAAGAGCUUGCUCUGUCCUCUCCACGCAUCGACCUGGUAUUGCAGUACCUCCAGGACCGGGGCACCUCUC